rnacentral:rRNA from 1 species
UACGGAGGAUCCAAGCGUUAUCCGGAUUCAUUGGGUUUAAAGGGUGCGUAGGCGAAAUGAUAAGUCAGUGGUGAAAUCCUUCAGCUUAACUGGAGAAUUGCCGUUGAUACUGUCAAUCUUGAGUACAUUUGAUGUGGGCGGAAUGUGUCAUGUAGCGGUGAAAUGCUUAGAUAUGACACAGAACACCGAUUGCGAAGGCAGCUCACAAAACUGUAACUGACGCUGAGGCACGAAAGCGUGGGUAUCAAACAGG